GAUGCCCAGCUUGCUGGGUGGAUUAGUGGCGAACGGGUGAGUAACACGUGAGUAACCUGCCCCUGACUCUGGGAUAAGCGUUGGAAACGACGUCUAAUACUGGAUAUGACUGCCGGCCGCAUGGUCUGGUGGUGGAAAGAUUUUUUGGUUGGGGAUGGACUCGCGGCCUAUCAGCUUGUUGGUGAGGUAAUGGCUCACCAAGGCGACGACGGGUAGCCGGCCUGAGAGGGUGACCGGCCACACUGGGACUGAGACACGGCCCAGACUCCUACGGGAGGCAGCAGUGGGGAAUAUUGCACAAUGGGCGAAAGCCUGAUGCAGCAACGCCGCGUGAGGGAUGACGGCCUUCGGGUUGUAAACCUCUUUUAGUAGGGAAGAAGGGANCUUGNUCUUGACNGUACCUGCAGAAAAAGCACCGGCUAANUACGUGCCAGCAGCCGCGGUAAUACGUAGGGUGCNAGCGUUGUCCGGAAUUAUUGGGCGUAAAGAGCUCGUAKGCGGUUUGUCGCGUCUGCUGUGAAAUCCCGAGGCUCAACCUCGGGCUUGCAGUGGGUACRGGCAGACUAGAGUGCGGUARGGGAGAUUGGAAUUCCUGGUGUAGCGKUGGAAUGCGCAGAUAUCAGGAGGAACACCGAUGGCGAAGGCAGAUCUCUGGGCCGUAACUGACGCUGAGGAGCGNAAAGCAUGGGGAGCGAACAGGAUUAGAUACCCUGGUAGUCCAUGCCGUAAACGUUGGGCGCUAGAUGUAGGGACCUUUCCACGGUUUCUGUGUCGUAGCUAACGCAUUAAGCGCCCCGCCUGGGGAGUACGGCCGCAAGGCUAAAACUCAAAGGAAUUGACGGGGGCCCGCACAAGCGGCGGAGCAUGCGGAUUAAUUCGAUGCAACGCGAAGAACCUUACCAAGGCUUGACAUACACCGGAAACGGCCAGAGAUGGUCGCCCCCUUGUGGUCGGUGUACAGGUGGUGCAUGGUUGUCGUCAGCUCGUGUCGUGAGAUGUUGGGUUAAGUCCCGCAACGAGCGCAACCCUCGUUCUAUGUUGCCAGCGCGUUAUGGCGGGGACUCAUAGGAGACUGCCGGGGUCAACUCGGAGGAAGGUGGGGAUGACGUCAAAUCAUCAUGCCCCUUAUGUCUUGGGCUUCACGCAUGCUACAAUGGCCGGUACAAAGGGCUGCGAUACCGUAAGGUGGAGCGAAUCCCAAAAAGCCGGUCUCAGUUCGGAUUGAGGUCUGCAACUCGACCUCAUGAAGUCGGAGUCGCUAGUAAUCGCAGAUCAGCAACGCUGCGGUGAAUACGUUCCCGGGCCUUGUACACACCGCCCGUCAAGUCAUGAAAGUCGGUAACACCCGAAGCCGGUGGCCUAACCC
rnacentral:rRNA from 1 species